CUUAGAGUUUGAUCCUGGCUCAGGAUGAACGCUGGCGGCGCGCCUAACACAUGCAAGUCGAACGGCACCCAUCUUCGGAUGGAAGCGAGUGGCGAACGGCUGAGUAACACGUGGAGAACCUGCCCCCUCCCCCGGGAUAGCCGCCCGAAAGGACGGGUAAUACCGGAUACCCCGGGGUGCCGCAUGGCACCCCGGCUAAAGCCCCGACGGGAGGGGAUGGCUCCGCGGCCCAUCAGGUAGACGGCGGGGUGACGGCCCACCGUGCCGACAACGGGUAGCCGGGUUGAGAGACCGACCGGCCAGAUUGGGACUGAGACACGGCCCAGACUCCUACGGGAGGCAGCAGUGGGGAAUCUUGCGCAAUGGGGGGAACCCUGACGCAGCGACGCCGCGUGCGGGACGGAGGCCUUCGGGUCGUAAACCGCUUUCAGCAGGGAAGAGUCAAGACUGUACCUGCAGAAGAAGCCCCGGCUAACUACGUGCCAGCAGCCGCGGUAAUACGUAGGGGGCGAGCGUUAUCCGGAUUCAUUGGGCGUAAAGCGCGCGUAGGCGGCCCGGCAGGCCGGGGGUCGAAGCGGGGGGCUCAACCCCCCGAAGCCCCCGGAACCUCCGCGGCUUGGGUCCGGUAGGGGAGGGUGGAACACCCGGUGUAGCGGUGGAAUGCGCAGAUAUCGGGUGGAACACCGGUGGCGAAGGCGGCCCUCUGGGCCGAGACCGACGCUGAGGCGCGAAAGCUGGGGGAGCGAACAGGAUUAGAUACCCUGGUAGUCCCAGCCGUAAACGAUGGACGCUAGGUGUGGGGGGACGAUCCCCCCGUGCCGCAGCCAACGCAUUGAGCGUCCCGCCUGGGGAGUACGGCCGCAAGGCUAAAACUCAAAGGAAUUGACGG
rnacentral:rRNA from 1 species